rnacentral:rRNA from 1 species
CCUACGGGUGGCAGCAGUGGGGAAUAUUGGACAAUGGGGGGAACCCUGAUCCAGCGACGCCGCGUGAGUGAAGAAGUAUUUCGGUAUGUAAAGCUCUAUCAGCAGGGAAGAAAGGAAUGACGGUACCUGACUAAGAAGCCCCGGCUAACUACGUGCCAGCAGCCGCGGUAAUACGUAGGGGGAAAGCGUUAUCCGGAUUUACUGGGUGUAAAGGGAGCGUAGUCGGUUACGUAAGUCUGGAGUGAAAGGCGGGGGCCCAACCCCCGGACUGCUUUGGAAACUGUAUAACUGGAGUGCAGGAGAGGUAGGUGGAAUUCCUAGUGUAGCGGUGAAAUGCGUAGAUAUUAGGAGGAACACCAGUGGCGAAGGCGGCUUACUGGACUGUAACUGACGUUGAGGCUCGAAAGCGUGGGGAGCAAACAGGAUUAGAUACCCCAGUAGUC